UCUCCGUGYAUAGAAGAGARCUUAARGGUGGAAGUACYGARCUAUUUGUAGCUCCACUCAAGGCGRAUUUGGGGACAUUAACGAGCAUUGAGGUCUGGAAUGAUGUGGCUCUUUUAGUCGGUGGCUGGAAGCUCAAACAAGUCACCAUUCAGUUCGUAGUUGGUGGUCAGAGGUACUAUGCUUGUUAUGACAAGAGGAUUGGUCUGUCUGCAGUGAAGGAAACUCUCAAAUCUGACAAUGKAAAUUGCUAAAGCAGUUAAACUGCGGUUAUGCAACAAGCAUAUAAUAAAGCGUUAUAAUAUAGUGCA